AUACUUACCUGGCAGGGGAGACACCAUGAUCAAGAAGGUGGUUCACCCAGGGCGAGGCUCAACCAUUGCACUGGGGUUGUGCUGACCCCUGCGAACGGCCCUCCGUCCGCGUGAC
rnacentral:snRNA from 1 species